rnacentral:rRNA from 1 species
UACGUAGGUGACAAGCGUUGUCCGGAAUCAUUGGGCGUAAAGCGCGCGUAGGCGGCCCGGUAAGUCCGCUCUGAAAGUCCAGGGCUCAACCCUGGAAAGCGGGUGGAUACUGCCGGGCUAGAAUCCGGAAGAGGCGAGUGGAAUUCCUGGUGUAGCGGUGGAAUGCGCAGAUAUCAGGAGGAACACCAAUAGCGAAGGCAGCUCGCUGGGACGGUACUGACGCUGAGACGCGAAAGCGUGGGGAGCGAACAGG